rnacentral:rRNA from 1 species
CAAUAGCGUAUAUUAAAGUUGUUGCGGUUAAAAAGCUCGUAGUUGGAUUUCUGCUGAGGACGACCGGUCCGCCCUCCGGGUGAGUAUCUGGCUCGGCCCGGGCAUCUUCUUGGAGAACGUUGCUGCACUUGAUUGUGUGGCGCGGAAUUCAAGACUUUUACUUUGAGGAAAUUAGAGUGUUUCAAGCAGGCACACGCCUUGAAUACAUUAGCAUGGAAUAAUAAGAUAGGACCUCGGUUUUAUUUUGUUGGUUUCUAGAGCUGAGGUAAUGAUUAAUAGGGAUAGUUGGGGGCAUUCGUAUUUAACUGUCAGAGGUGAAAUUCUCGGAUUUGUUAAAGACGGACUACUGCGAAAGCAUUUGCCAAGGAUGUUUUCAUUGA